rnacentral:rRNA from 1 species
GAUGAACGCUGGCGGCGUGCCUAAUACAUGCAAGUCGAGCGAACAGACGAGGAGCUUGCUCCUCUGACGUUAGCGGCGGACGGGUGAGUAACACGUGGAUAACCUACCUAUAAGACUGGGAUAACUUCGGGAAACCGGAGCUAAUACCGGAUAAUAUAUUGAACCGCAUGGUUCAAUAUUGAAAGACGGUUUUGCUGUCACUUAUAGAUGGAUCCGCGCCGCAUUAGCUAGUUGGUAAGGUAACGGCUUACCAAGGCAACGAUGCGUAGCCGACCUGAGAUGGUGAUCGGCCACCCUGGAACUGAGACACGGUCCAGACUCCUACGGGAGGCAGCAGUAGGGAAUCUUCCGCAAUGGGCGAAAGCCUGACGGAGCAACGCCGAGUGAGUGAUGAAGGUCUUCGGAUCGUAAAACUCUGUUAUUAGGGAAGAACAAAUGUGUAAGUAACUAUGCACGUCUUGACGGUACCUAAUCAGAAAGCCACGGCUAACUACGUG